rnacentral:misc_RNA from 1 species
UAUGGCGGCCCCAAUGGUAAAACUGCAUUACAUGCGGCAGCAAUACGCAGGAAUUACAAAUAUGGAAAGAUAAUAGAAAAGCUAUUGGAGAAAUUGAGUGGCUUGGCCAAAGAAACAGAUGAAAAUGGUUGGACUCCACUUCACUAUGCUGUGCAUGCAAGAAAUACUCCAGCAGUCAAAACGCUAUUAAGUAAGGACAAAUCUAGUGCUUACAUCAGCGAUAAAAGUUGGAAGAGGACACCUCUUCUCAUUGCAGCCUCUCGAGACUAUCAAGACAUAGUGGAAGAGAUCAUUUCAAAAUGUCCAGGUUGCUGCGAGCAGACUGACGCUAGAGGUUGGAAUGUUUUUCAUUAUGCAGUGAUCAGCAAAA